CCCUAUGGGGUGCAGCAGGCGUGGUGGAAGUGGGGUGCGAAUCCCGUCGAUUGGAACGCGUUGGCAUGGACCAACGUGUACUACGCGACGAAUUCCGGCUCGGCCGGCUCGGUGGCGCUCGCCGCAGAUGCGGAGUUCGUCGUCGGCGGAUCCGAGGACUAUCGCAAGGGCGUCUUCGAGAUCGAGUACCAGCCGGCGUUGAACCUGAGCACGAAAGACCACCGUAAGAUCCAGGCAAAGUUGAAGUUCAUGCCGGCGAUCGAGGGAUUGCUGGAUAUGAAUGCGUCCAUCAACGUCUUCGAUAAGAUCACGGAUCAGUGGUACAAGAAAUCAUUCAGUAUUGGCGGGAGGGC
rnacentral:rRNA from 1 species